CCAGACUCCUACGGGAGGCAGCAGUGGGGAAUAUUGCACAAUGGGGGAAACCCUGAUGCAGCAACGCCGCGUGGGUGAAGGAGCGUUUCGGCGCGUAAAGCCCUGUCAGCGGGGAAGAAGAAAGACGGUACCUGACUAAGAAGCCCCGGCUAACUACGUGCCAGCAGCCGCGGUAAUACGUAGGGGGCAAGCGUUAUCCGGAAUUACUGGGUGUAAAGGGAGCGUAGACGGUUAAGUAAGUCUGGAGUGAAAGGCCGGGGCCCAACCCCGGGACUGCUCUGGAAACUAUUUAACUUGAGUGCAGGAGAGGUAAGCGGAAUUCCUAGUGUAGCGGUGAAAUGCGUAGAUAUUAGGAGGAACACCAGUGGCGAAGGCGGCUUACUGGACGACUACUGACGCUGAGGCUCGAAAGCGUGGGGAGCAAACAGGAUUAGAUACCCCAGUA
rnacentral:rRNA from 1 species